rnacentral:rRNA from 1 species
GAACUUGCCUCUUGGACUGGGACAACUGUUGGAAACGACAGCUAAUACCGGAUAUUAUGAGAUUCUCGCAUGAGAAACUUAUGAAAGCUAUAUGCGCCAAGAGAGAGCCUUGCGUUCCAUUAGCUAGUUGGUGGGGUAACGGCCCACCAAGGCGACGAUGGAUAGCCGGCCUGAGAGGGUGAACGGCCACAAGGGGACUGAGACACGGCCCUUACUCCUACGGGAGGCAGCAGUGGGGAAUAUUGGACAAUGGGCCACAAGCCUGAUCCAGCAAUUCUGUGUGCACGAUGAAGGUCUUCGGAUUGUAAAGUGCUUUCAGUUGGGAAGAAGAAAGUGACGGUACCAACAGAAGAAGCGACGGCUAAAUACGUGCCAGCAGCCGCGGUAAUACGUAUGUCGCAAGCGUUAUCCGGAUUUAUUGGGCGUAAAGCGCGUCUAGGCGGAAAAAUAAGUCUGAUGUUAAAAUGCGGGGCUCAACUCCGUAUUGCGUUGGAAACUGUUUUUCUAGAGUACUGGAGAGGUGGGCGGAACUACAAGUGUAGAGGUGAAAUUCGUAGAUAUUUGUAGGAAUGCCGAUGGAGAAGUCAGCUCACUGGACAGAUACUGACGCUGAAGCGCGAAAGCGUGGGGAGCAAACAGG